rnacentral:rRNA from 1 species
AAACCUGGCCGGGCUGCCCUAAUAAUGGCAAGUCGAGCGAAACAGAUGAGAAAGCUUGCUUCUCUGAUGUUAGCGGCGGACGGGUGAGUAACACGUGGGUAACCUACCUAUAAGACUGGGAUAACUCCGGGAAACCGGGGCUAAUACCGGAUAAUAUUUUGAACCGCAUGGUUCAAUAGUGAAAGACGGUUUCGGCUGUCACUUAUAGAUGGACCCGCGCCGUAUUAGCUAGUUGGUAAGGUAAUGGCUUACCAAGGCGACGAUACGUAGCCGACCUGAGAGGGUGAUCGGCCACACUGGAACUGAGACACGGUCCAGACUCCUACGGGAGGCAGCAGUAGGGAAUCUUCCGCAAUGGGCGAAAGCCUGACGGAGCAACGCCGCGUGAGUGAUGAAGGUCUUCGGAUCGUAAAACUCUGUUGUUAGGGAAGAACAAAUUUGUUAGUAACUGAACAAGUCUUGACGGUACCUAACCAGAAAGCCACGGCUAACUACGUGCCAGCAGCCGCGGUAAUACGUAGGUGGCAAGCGUUAUCCGGAAUUAUUGGGCGUAAAGCGCGCGUAGGCGGUUUCUUAAGUCUGAUGUGAAAGCCCACGGCUCAACCGUGGAGGGUCAUUGGAAACUGGGAAACUUGAGUGCAGAAGAGGAGAGUGGAAUUCCAUGUGUAGCGGUGAAAUGCGCAGAGAUAUGGAGGAACACCAGUGGCGAAGGCGGCUCUCUGGUCUGUAACUGACGCUGAUGUGCGAAAGCGUGGGGAUCAAACAGGAUUAGAUACCCUGGUAGUCCACGCCGUAAACGAUGAGUGCUAAGUGUUAGGGGGGUUUCCGCCCCUUAGUGCUGCAGCUAACGCAUUAAGCACUCCGGCCUGGGGGAGUACGACCGCAAGGUUGAAACUCAAAGGAAUUGACGGGGGACCCGCACAAGCGGUGGAGCAUGUGGUUUUAUUCGAAGCAACGCGAAGAACCUUACCAAUCUUGACAUCCUUUGACCGCUCUAGAGAUAGAGUCUUCCCCUUCGGGGGACAAAGUGACAGUUGGUGCAAUGGUUUGUCGUUCAGCCUCGUGUCGGGAG